rnacentral:rRNA from 1 species
AUGGAGCGGAUCACGCAGCACUACCUCGACAUCAUCUCCAGCGACAGCGGCUUCCUCUAUGCCGAGGCUACGGCGAUGUCGGCGCGGGUCUGCCUGUCGGCCAACAAGGCCCUCAUCAUGGCGUCCCGCGUGGUGGACAGCGCGCGACUCAACCUCGGCGCGCCCAGCGAGAUCUCCGCCGAGACCAUCCACGGGACCGUCCGCACGUACGAGGCCGUCUUCUCCGCCGCCGCUGACGACUCUUACAAGAAGUCGGUCAACAGGAACACGGUGGCCUCGUUCCUCGGCGCCCUGAGAGGUCUGGCCACAUCCUGCUCCAGGGCGCCCUCGAGUCCCUCUGCCACGGGCACCCGAGGGUCGCCGUGUCCGAGUACGCUUUCAACUCCGACGUGGAGGACAUGUAUACCGCGAGUUCGUGCAGGGGAUGCGCGACGUGGAGGAUGA